GCCCUACGGGAGGCAGCAGUGAGGAAUAUUGGUCAAUGGGCGCGAGCCUGAACCAGCCAAGUCGCGUGAGGGAAGAAGGUCCUAUGGAUUGUAAACCUCUUUUGUCGGGGAGCAAAAGACGCCACGCGUGGCGUUCCGAGAGUACCCGAAGAAAAAGCAUCGGCUAACUCCGUGCCAGCAGCCGCGGUAAUACGGAGGAUGCGAGCGGUAUCCGGAUUUACUGGGUUUAAAGGGAGCGCAGGCGGAAGAUCAAGUCAGCGGUAAAAUUGAGAGGCUCAGACUCUUCGAGCCGUUGAAACUGGUUU
rnacentral:rRNA from 1 species